rnacentral:rRNA from 1 species
GUGUUGAAACACUGGUUCCCAUAUGAUCACCAAUGUUAAGCAACAGUGAGCCUGGUCAGUACCUAGAUGGGUAACUGCUUGGGAAUACCAGGUGACGUAA